rnacentral:lncRNA from 1 species
CUCUUCCAUAUCCAAAUUUGAAGAAAAAGGAUUGCGAAACAGGUUUGUGAUUUGAUCACAAUCUGAAUUUUAGCAUAUGAGAUAGAUCCAUGUGAUUUUAUAUUUUUAUGCAUGCAUAAUUUAGAUUAAAAGUAUUUUAAUUCUAUUCUCUACUAUGGUACUUAAAAAAUAAAAUUUUGAACACAUAUGCAUGCACCAGAUCCCAAAUUCCUACAGUGG